AUGCUGUAUUCAAUAAUAAUGGUUGACUUCACCUACUUCACAGUUUUGCAGAAAUCUAGUCCUGCCUGCCUUCCUCUCCUGGAUAUUUGGACAGGCGUCAGAAAAAUCAGCAGGAAAUGGAGAAUGAGCAUAUGUUCCGGCUCAGGGAGCCAAACACUUGGAAAGCUGAUCGGCAGACCCAGCUCCAGCAGAUGGCAGUAUGUCAAUGGGGAGUCUAGUAGAACUCUUUUCAAGAGGCUCCAAUUAAAUGACCUUGUACUCUUGCCAAAGCUGAAUGAACAGCUCAGUUGGAUCUCACGGCAUUAUUUGUUUGUCCUGUUAUUGAAUGAAAAUUGUUUUCAAGAUUUUAAUCCCAUUUUGCCUCACAGAGAUAAGUUCUUUCUCCAGUUUUCUAUGAUUCAUUCAAUUAGGAAAAUAUUAUUGAAUACCUGCAAUGUACAAGAUAUUACUCUAGGUAUUGUUUUGGGGGCAGGACAGCUUCUACUUCAAUUUAGGUUUUUCUUACUCUACAAUUAAAAUUACAACUGGUAUAUGCAUAGGUUUUUUUUAAUUGCUAAGUUUUUUAUAUACAUAAUCUCAACUGGGCCUCACAAUAACCCAAUGAAAUCGGUGUUCCAGGUAUUGUCUCCCUUUAACAGAUGAGGAAACAGGUUCAGAGAGACUAUGGCUGCACAACUAGAAUGCAUCAAAAGUGAGGUUUGAAAUCCGAUCUUCCUGAAGCCAAAUCCAGUAUUCUAGUAGAUAGCGUCUGUCUCCCUGGAUGCUUCUAAACUCAUGACUGAGUUUCUCAUCCACAUGUUUCCUUUUGAGGUCAAACAUAUUUAGGACUAUGGUAUAGAAUCUUCUUGGCAACAUUUCCAUUAUGAUUACUAUAUUCUUCAGUGGCAAAGGGAGGUGAGAAGUAUGACAAUUGAAAAAAUAUGGGACAAUAUAAAAAAGGAAUGGGACAACAAAAGAUAUUUAGAAGCAGUCUAGAGGAGAGAGGAGAGAAAGAAGAGGGAAGAAGAAGAAGAAGAAGAAGAAGAAGAAGAAGAAGAAGAAGAUGACGAAGAAGAAGAAGAGGAAAAAGGAAGAAGAAGAAGAAGAGGAAGAAGAAGAAGGAAGAAAAAGAACGAAGAAGAAGAGGAAGAAGAAGGAAGAAGAAGAGGGCAGAAGGAAGAAGAAGAAGAAGAGGAAGAAGAAGAGGGAAGAAGGAAGAAGAAGAAGAAGAGGAAGAAGGAAGAAGGAAGAAGAAGAAGAAGAGGAAGAAGAAGA
rnacentral:lncRNA from 1 species